rnacentral:rRNA from 1 species
AUCGAACGCUGGCGGCGUGCUUAACACAUGCAAGUCGAACGAGAAAGUCCAUUUCGGUGGGCGAGUAAAGUGGCGCACGGGUGAGUAACGCGUAGGUAACUUGCCCCGGGGCGAGGGACAACCUGUCGAAAGGCGGGCUAAUACCUCAUAAGACCACGUGACUCAAGUUGCGUGGUAAAAGGUGGUCAAUCCACGGAAACUGUCACCUCGGGAAAGGCCUGCGUACCAUUAGCUAGUUGGUAGGGUAAAAGCCUACCAAGGCGACGAUGGUUAGCUGAUCUGAGAGGAUGAUCAGCCACACUGGAACUGAGAUACGGUCCAGACUCCUACGGGAGGCAG